CCCUUAGAUGUUCUGGGCUGCACGCGCGCUACACUGAUGCGUUCAACGAGUCUGCCUUGGCCGAGAGGUCUGGGUAAUCUUGUGAACGCGCAUCGUGCUGGGGAUAGAUUAUUGUAAUUUUUAAUCUUGAACGAGGAAUUUCUAGUAAACGCGAGUCAACAACUCGCAUUGAUUACGUCCCUGUCCUUUGUACACACCGCCCGUCGCUACUACCGAUUGAAUUAUUUGGUGAGGCCCACGGACUGUUGCUUGACCUUCCUCGUGUUGGCUCGGGCAUCUUGGGAAGUGGUACGAACCUGAUAAUUUAGAGGAAGUAAAAGUCGUAACA
rnacentral:rRNA from 1 species